GGCGUUUAAUCAUACAAUUUAAACAACUAACACUGGAUUACACUACACUCGUUUGCAAGGAACACUUCAAAUCAAUUUAUAGCUUCGCGCAGGUAUUGAUUCGUGGCGUAAACCUAAUUCGUCUGCUAAAUUGAGCAGUUUCACAGUUAGUGCCUAAUAAUACUUGAAACAGGUAACAGUAAGUGCUAGCAAUACCGUACGGCACCCGAAUUUCGGACUGAACACAAAUAAUUACUAAAAAGGCAUUAAACGUAAGUUGAAAUUUAAGAUUAUAUUCAAUGAAACACAAUGCACACAUAUAUUAUAAGUAAUCAAAUCCCUAAAUGCAUGAAUUGUCUUUACUACAGGGAUAAUUUAACGUUCUGUAAUACACCGUUGAAAUUACCGGAAGCUUCGUCGUUUUCUUUCUUGU